UCACAAGCAGAUACCUGGAAGGAGUAGGACCAGACUUUCAAGCCAGUCUCCAUACUGCCAGACUGUGGCCCUUAACCACAUGUGAUUUGCUUCAUAAUUACACAAGGCUUCAUUCCUGGGUCUCACUCCUGGAGAAGGUCAUUACAGCAUGCAAAUCAAUCAGAAUGGGAUGACAAGAAGAUGACAUAAUUGUUUUUCAAUGGAAUUUGAGGCAAAUGAGACAGCUAGCUGUAAUACUGAACCGAGAAUGGAAUUGAUCUAGGACACAGAAGCGUGGUUAUUAAUGAUUUAAAGAAUCAGAGCAACUAAUACAUUAUGCCUGUGCAUGUGAAACAGAAAGGUAUUCUGGGAGGCAGGGCAAAGACAAGACAUUUAUAACACUAAUUGAGAAUGAGCCCCUGGAGAACUUUCACUGCCAAUAAUCAAGGAUGAAGUAUGAACCCGCCUACCUUUGACUCCCGGGGCAAACUACAAAUCAAACAGUAGGAUCUUCUUCUGAAGGAUAAUUCUCUCUGGGGAAAAGGAUUCUAUGGAUGAAGAGGCUCGACACUCAGGCCAGUGACUUGAUUGGCACUGACUCAACCUACAUAUUGUUUUUGAUGGUUUCCAGGAAGAUCAAAAAAGUAGACGACUUGGGGGACAAUCUGGAUUCUCUAAACACAAAAUUGAAGGUAUUUAGGAAGUGGCCGAUUUCCUUCCCAAUAACUUGUCUAUUUAAGUUCCCCUUAUUUUUAGAUGAGUCGGGGUGGGUGUACUCCUGAGUCACCUACGGCAAAGAGAAGGGGCUUUUAGGAGUGUCUUCCGGCCAACUUGAGGAUGGGAGAUGAGAAUACAAGGAAGUGAUCUUUGACUCAGCUUGCCCAGGGCUUGGGUGUUGUGGCAUUCCCCACAAGUGACGCACUCCCAAGCGGGGUGACCUCAUAUAUCACGGGAUUUAUUCCCACCGCUGACUCCACCCCAUAUCCUCCUCAGCUUCUCAUCCUCUCACUUACCAGUUCCGCCUCCCUUUCAAGAUCAGAGUGGGGGUAGGGUGGCUGCAGCCUAGAAAUGCCUUUCGUGGGCGGGGAGCGGAGACAACCCGGGUUUGGAAAAAUGCAAGAAGUGGCACUCACUUUCCCUUCUCCAGAUGUUUCGCAUUUCUGGUUAAGGCUAUCCCUACUCCUCUAAUCCCAAACAGUACGAUCUUACUCGAGGCAGUCUCAUCCUUUAGACAGUCCUUCUCUUAGUUACCCCUCUUUCUCUUUUUGCCAUUUUUCUGAGUCCGGAAUUCUCAGUAGGAAGUGGUUGGAGUCUCGGCUCUCUUUCCUGCUCUAGCUGUGUGACCUUGACUAACCCACAACUUCCCUGGGCCUAGUUUCUUUGUCUGUGAAACAGGCCAAACGUCUGGCGCACCACGAAGGCGCUGUGUAAGCUGUAGAAAGGUGAAGACGCUAGCUAUCUCGCUAGGAAAGAGCUGUCACCCUUCAGAGCCCCUCCCUCUCCUCGGGGAGCGCCGAGCAAACCCAGCCUCCCUCCCGCUGUCACUUCCUCCACCUCCCGCCUCUCGGCCCGCGCGGCGCUGGCUGUUAGCGUCACAGCCGUCGC